UAGGGAAUCUUCGGCAAUGGACGAAAGUCUGACCGAGCAACGCCGCGUGAGUGAAGAAGGUUUUCGGAUCGUAAAACUCUGUUGUUAGAGAAGAACAAGGACGUUAGUAACUGAACGUCCCCUGACGGUAUCUAACCAGAAAGCCACGGCUAACUACGUGCCAGCAGCCGCGGUAAUUCGUAGGUGGCAAGCGUUGUCCGGAUUUAUUGGGCGUAAAGCGAGCGCAGGCGGUUUCUUAAGUCUGAUGUGAAAGCCCCCGGCUCAACCGGGGAGGGUCAUUGGAAACUGGGAGACUUGAUUGCAGAAGAGGAGCGUGGAAUUCCAUGUGUAGCGGUGAAAUGCGUAGAUAUAUGGAGGCACACCAGUGGCGAAGGCGGCUAUCUGGUCUGUAACUGACGCUGAGGCUCGAAAGCGUGGGGAGCAAACAGG
rnacentral:rRNA from 1 species